rnacentral:tRNA from 2 species
GGAGGAUUGGCCGAGUCCGGUAAGGCAACCGUCCCGAAAACGGUAGUCGGCGCGAGAGCGUCGCGCAGGUUCGAAUCCUGCAUCCUCCGCAA